rnacentral:lncRNA from 1 species
ACUAUGUACUAUAAUAUUCUAUCAAAAGAAUUGAAGAAGGAAUGCAUCCUGGUUAUUACAAAUUUAAAAGACAAAUUGGAAAUACAUUACAUUAGGAUAUUCCUAACAUAUAUUAAGUAUAUUACUUACCAUUGUACUGGGUAAUUAAAAACACUAUUAUACAUCGACUGGCAAUAAGUUAUUUAAAGAAAACUAUUCUUUUUAAAUAAUAGAUUGUUAAAGCAGAAAGGCCAUAGAUAAGAAAUAUUGAAAAAAUGUCUUAAUUUCACAAAGUUAAAGGAGAAGAAAAUAAUGCUGUCAGAAAAUUAAAUUCUACUGAUCAUCAAAGUCUUUCACAUGCUUUCUAAGAUUUAACUGUACUUGUGCCAUAUAAUUUCUAAUAAGGAUAAUUCAAUAUAUUAAAGGGUUUUUUGUGCAAUUUCUUAAAUGAAAAAGAGAUUAAAGGAAUAUUCUAGUAGCACAAAAUUUGGGUAGAAAAGAAGAAAACUGUAUUAUCAUGAAGAAACAUAUCACACUAUUAUACAUUGUGGUGGCAUUACAUAAUAUAAAAUGUAUUUGUUGUUUCGUUUAACGAUUGCUAGAUAAAUCUUCUUUUAAAUAAUAUGCUUAUAUAUUUGAUACUGGGUGUGAUUUUGUAAGUGAAGAUACGAAAUGAAUUAUUUACUACAUAUAUCUAUAAUUUAAAGCGCAGAGAAGUGUUUUAAUAGCUCAAUAAUGUAACAAAUUCAUUGUAAUAUUUAAGACGAUGUCAUACCACGAUUGUACAUUUAAUAUUACUUAUAAAUAUAUAUUUUCUUAAAAUA